GCCUGGGUAGCUCAGACGGUAAAGCAUCAGAUUUUUAAUAUGAGAGGCCAGGGUUCAAGUCCCUGUUCAGGCG